GACGAACGCUGGCGGCGUGCCUAAUACAUGCAAGUCGAACGCAGUGGGGACGGGGGAGUAACACGUGGGUAACCUCCCAUCAGAGGGGCUCACACUUGGAAACAGGUGCUAACCCGCUACAGAUGGAUGGACCCGCGGUGCAUUAGCUAGUUGGUACGGUAACGGCUCACAAAGGCCACGAUGCAUAACCGACCUGAUAGUGUGUGCGGCAACCAGGGGACUGAGAACAUGCCCAGACUCCUACGGGAGGCAGCAGUAGGGAAUCUUCGGCAAUGGACGAAAGUCUGACAGAGCAACGCCGCGUGAGUGAAGAAGGUUUUCGGAUCGUAAAACUCUGUUGUUAGAGAAGCGGUAUCUAACCAGAAAGCCACGGCGAACGACGUGCCAGCAGCCGCGGUAAUUC
rnacentral:rRNA from 1 species